rnacentral:rRNA from 1 species
AUCGAUGAAGAACGCAGCGAAAUGCGAUAAGUAAUGUGAAUUGCAGAAUUCAGUGAAUCAUCGAAUCUUUGAACGCACAUUGCGCCCCUUGGUAUUCCGAGGGGCAUGCCUGUUCGAGCGUCAUU